AGAUCAAAGCUGCAUGAAACGUCAACAGCAGAGCAGUUGAAUUUCGUAGAUGCAAAACUUGGGGAGUCUUCACAAGCAAUCUGGAGGAAUGAGUCUGCGGUAGAAAGGACAGUGCCUGUGAAAUUAUUACUUAAAACAGAGUCCAGAGUCUCAGGAUGUUAUCCUUGAGUGACCUGGGAAGGAGUGAACUCCUUCAUAGCUGAAGAGCAUGUGAUGUUGACUGUUGUCAGGAAACCUGCAGCUGCAGGAGAAUGGCCUGAAACUUUUUAACGGGGAAUCUUCUUUUCUGUUGGCAUACUUCUUUACUUUUAACUUGAAGAUCUCUGUGAUAUUCUUCUUUUUUA